UACGGAAGGCAGCAGUGGGGAAUAUUGCACAAUGGGCGCAAGCCUGAUGCAGCCAUGCCGCGUGUAUGAAGAAGGCCUUCGGGUUGUAAAGUACUUUCAGUCGUGAGGAAGGUGUUAAGGUUAAUAACCUUAGCAAUUGACGUUAGCGACAGAAGAAGCACCGGCUAACUCCGUGCCAGCAGCCGCGGUAAUACGGAGGGUGCGAGCGUUAAUCGGAAUUACUGGGCGUAAAGGGCACGCAGGCGGUUAAUUAAGUUGGAUGUGAAAUCCCCGGGCUUAACCUGGGAAUGGCAUUCAAGACUGGUUAGCUAGAGUCUUGUAGAGGGGGUAGAAUUCCAUGUGUAGCGGUGAAAUGCGUAGAGAUGUGGAGGAAUACCGGUGGCGAAGGCGGCCCCUGGGACAAAGGCUGACGCUCAUGUGCGAAAGCGUGGGGAGCGAAACAGGAUUAGAUACCCGGU
rnacentral:rRNA from 1 species